CACAGGCUCUUCUGCUUUAUUCACCCCUAAUAUACAAGGAAGAGUCUCUAAAGUGAAUCUUUAUCAGAAGGAAAAAGAUCUGGAAGAAAUUUGACAUGACUUUUGUACUACGUUCAAGGUAUAGUUCGACACAUGUUGUGAUACUUGCAUAGUGGCAAAAUUUAAAACAGUUUUUACUCAAUAGAUAUAUUUGAAACUUCAGCAUUGAAAGAUAUAUUGCAAAUCAAGAGAGUUUAAACUGUAUUGAUUAAAAGUGAGUCAAACUAAUUUAUUGUGAAACUGAAGUUGCAGUAUUAAUUGGACAAAACUUUGAGUAUUUAAGCUUGCAAGUCGCCAAAUGGCUGCUUCUUGCCAAGUACUCCUCUGUUUAGAUGACAAGUGAAGCAGUUCAGAUAGCCUCAAUGCAGACACCUGAAAAAGAUUCCAUGUGUCCAGGCGACGAUAGUGGAGACUGCUGCCAGAAAAAAAGGAAAUACCAAAAUAAAGCAGAUGUUGUGUCCUAUACUGUUAUCUCAAGGUUUUGCAAGUCAUUCUGU